GGCCAGACUCCUACGGGAGGCAGCAGUGGGGAAUAUUGCACAAUGGGGGGAACCCUGAUGCAGCGACGCCGCGUGGGUGAAGAAGUAUUUCGGUAUGUAAAGCCCUAUCAGCAGGGAAGAAAAAUGACGGUACCUGACUAAGAAGCACCGGCUAAAUACGUGCCAGCAGCCGCGGUAAUACGUAUGGUGCAAGCGUUAUCCGGAUUUACUGGGUGUAAAGGGAGCGCAGGCGGCACGCUAAGCCUGAUGUGAAAACCCGCGGCCCAACCGCGGGAGUGCAUUGGGAACUGGCGGGCUGGAGUACCGGAGGGGCAGGCGGAAUUCCUAGUGUAGCGGUGAAAUGCGUAGAUAUUAGGAGGAACACCGGUGGCGAAGGUGGCUUACUGGACUGUAACUGACGUUGAGGCUCGAAAGCGUGGGGAGCAAACAGGAUUAGAUACCCCAGUA
rnacentral:rRNA from 1 species